UGAGUACGAGCUGCUACGGCAGCGAAGUGGGUGACGUCAAGCUUCCAAGAAAAGCCCUAUACCCGUUAAGGCAUGAUGGCCUGUACCCGAAACCGACACAGGUGGGGUGGUAGAGAAUACCGAGGGGCGCGAGGUAACUCUCUCUAAGGAACUCGGCAAAAUGGCCCCGUAACUUCGGGAGAAGGGGUGCCACCGCAAGGUGGUCGCAGUGAAGAGGCCCAGGCGACUGUUUACCAAAAACACAGGUCUCCGCUAAGUCGCAAGACGAUGUAUGGGGGCUGACGCCUGCCCAGUGCCGGAAGGUUAAGGAAGUUGGUCAGCGAAAGCGAAGCUAGCGACUGAAGCCCCGGUGAACGGCGGCCGUAACUAUAACGGUCCUAAGGUAGCGAAAUUCCUUGUCGGGUAAGUUCCGACCCGCACGAAAGGCGUAACGAUCUGGGCGCUGUCUCGGAGAGAGGCUCGGCGAAAUAGAAUUGUCUGUGAAGAUGCGGACUACGUGCACCCGGACAGAAAGACCCUAUGAAGCUUUACUGUAGCUUGGUAUUGUGCCCGGGCUCUGAAUGCGCAGGAUAGGUGGGAGGCUUUGAUCCAUGGCUUGCGGGUCAUGGUGAGCCAACGGUGAGAUACCACUCUUUCAGAGCUAGGGUUCUAACGGUCACCCGUUAUCCGGGGACCGGACAGUAUCUGGUGGGCAGUUUGACUGGGGCGGUCGCCUCCUAAAAGGUAACGGAGGCGCGCAAAGGUUUGCUCAGGCUGGUUGGAAAUCAGCCGACGAGUGUAAAAGCAGAACCAAGCUUGACUGUGAGACCAACAAGUCGAACAGGGACGAAAGUCGGCUUCAGUGAUCCGACGGUUCUGAGUGGAAGGGCCGUCGCUCAACGGAUAAAAGUUACUCUAGGAUAACAGGCUGAUCUCCCCCAAGAGUUCACAUCGACGGGGAGGUUUGGCACCUCGAUGUCGGCUCAUCGCAACCUGGGGCUGAAGUCGGUCCCAAGGGUUGGGCUGUUCGCCCAUUAAAGCGGUACGCGAGCUGGGUUCAGAACGUCGUGAGACAGUUCGGUCCAUAUCCGGUGCAUGCGCAGGAAUAUUGAGAGGAGUUCUCCCUAGUACGAGAGGACCGGGAGGAACGCACCUCUGGUGUACCAGUUAUCGUGCCAACGGUAAACGCUGGGUAGCCAUGUGCGGAGAGGAUAACCGCUGAAAGCAUCUAAGUGGGAAGCCCACCUCAAGAUGAGUAUUCCCAUGGCAUAAGCCAGUAAGGUCACGGGAAGAACACCCGUUGAUAGGCUCUACGUGGAAGCGCAGUAAUGCGUGAAGCGGAGGAGUACUAAUAGACCGAGGGCUU
rnacentral:rRNA from 1 species